GCAGGGAAUAAAAGGACAUAUUUUCGUCCCACAAGAGGGAGUUUGUCAGUUACCAAGAAAAGUUGUGUAUAGUUCCUUUUACUUUCACCUUGUUGUGAUUUGUUUUCUUUUCUCUUAUUAAAGUUAAAGGUCGCGUCAUCUGCCGGUCUGAAGCAGCCAGGGCCUGAAAACUAUGCGGGACGUAUUUCCAACUUCACCAGCGGUUCCCAAAAGGCGACUCUCUUGACCCAAAGUUCCUGUUUUUCCAGUAGCGCCUGACCUCCUCCAGCUCGUUCGGCCCGAGGCUCUGGUCGACCCCCGGCGUGGGCUGGUAGCUCAGAGAUCUGCAGUCGCGCUGCCAUCAUAAGUCUGCACCAGACAGGGGCCCAACCAGACCUCCUCUCCCCCCUCUGACGGUCUCACCAGAUCCACGCGAGGAGCCCACCUACUGUCACUGCCAGGACCACUUGGCUCCUUCUCAAAGGCCUUUUUCAGGAACAACAGAGUCGAGGAGAGGAAAUGACAGCCUGAUCACAAGACGCCGCUGGUCCCACUCCCCCCCACUCCGGCUUCUAGGGCCGCCCUGCAAAAACACAAAACUUAACAACUAUUUCUGCUCUAGUUUCUAGUGGAAAUACAUUAGUACACUUUAAAUAAGACAAAACUAACUUGCAAUGUGACUUGUAGUCCAGUUACAUGUUUCUCGUCACGUUGCAUUCUUUGACUGAUGCGACUUAUGCUGACUUAUACUCUGGAAAGUACAGGAUGAUCCUCUGAUGGACCCUAAAAAACAGACCCCACACUCUUAAAAUAAAAGAAAACAUGCAUUUCUCAUGUAAACUAGAAAAGCAGAAUGAAACUCGCUUUUUAAAAAAAUAUAGCCAAGAACACACCCGUAUCCACACUGCAAAAGCA